rnacentral:rRNA from 1 species
UGGGGAAUAUUGCACAAUGGGCGCAAGCCUGAUGCAGCGACGCCGCGUGAGGGAUGACGGCCUUCGGGUUGUAAACCUCUUUCAGUUCCGACGAAGCGAAAGUGACGGUAGGAGCAGAAGAAGCGCCGGCCAACUACGUGCCAGCAGCCGCGGUAAUACGUAGGGCGCAAGCGUUGUCCGGAAUUAUUGGGCGUAAAGAGCUCGUAGGCGGUUUGUCACGUCGGCUGUGAAAUCCCGAGGCUUAACCUCGGGCUUGCAGUCGAUACGGGCAGACUAGAGUGGAGCAGGGGAGACUGGAAUUCCUGGUGUAGCGGUGAAAUGCGCAGAUAUCAGGAGGAACACCGAUGGCGAAGGCAGGUCUCUGGGCUUUAACUGACGCUGAGGAGCGAAAGCGUGGGUAGCGAACA